AAGAGGCUGCUCUCAGUGUCACACUGCAACAGCAUGUGGCCCAGAAGGCUGAAGAGAAAGAAUAAAAGAAUUAUUUUAAUAACGUCUUAGGCCCCAGAUGGAAGCUAUAUUGGUUUGCAAACAAGAUUGGGUUUGUUUGGAUAAAGCAGGGUGACAGACAGUAAACUUGUCAGAUAAGUGGAUACUCACUUUAAGAUUUUUAAUAUGCAAGAAUUAUUGGUGUCCUUACUGCGGAGAGCCCUCUGGGUCAGGAAUAAAUAAAUAUUUCAGCAGCAAGCUGAGGUUGUAUCCUGUAUCUUCUAGUAGAACAAGGCAUCUGUUUUAGAGUGUGACUCCUGCUCACAGCCUCAGCGACAUCACCACGUGCACUCUGCCAUCCUGCCUGAUGACUGCCAAGAGAUGGUGGUAGGACCCUCCCAAGUGGACAAAGUCUAAUGCGAUCCAACAGGUCACACUGUUAGGCAGAAUUGAGGCUGGUAGUAUCAGUUUACCCUGCAAAGGCACAUUGAGUAGGCAAAGAGUUUUGUUGAAGUUUUACUCUUGGGCUGAAUUUAUGAUGCCCUGAGGUAAACAGAACAAGCAUCUGAAUAUCUCCAAUACAUUGACCUCUAUGAGAUCAUCAAAUGGCACUGAAGUAUUAUAGCAGAAGAACAAGAAAGCUUGUAUCAUAUAGAAGGCAUUAUGUUGGAAAUGAGCAAAUGCAUUUCAUAGAAUCACAGAAUCAGCAGCUGAAACAUUGCAAUGGACAGCAUACUCUAAUGGACAAGGAUAGAGCUGUGCUGGUGCACCAAACCAUGAUGCAUUGCAGGUCAGCAGUUGCCAUGCAAACAGCUCAGGAUAGUGGCAACAGUCAUCCUUGUCAGUCCAAGAGGUGUCAACUGGAGAAGCUAUGGCGAGCCAGGCAGUCUGAAAGGGAAAAUGUUGUGAAGUUUUGAGAAUGAAAGAAGAUUAAAACAAACACAUAAACAAAUAAAUAACAUCAGAAGUCUUUGCAAUAUGAUUGUGAUUGAAUUAAGCUGAGAAGGGGUAAGACCCAAUCACGUUGCAUCAUAUUACAGUACACAGAAGUUGAGGGCUAUUCUGUCCAUGCGAAGUAGACAGGAACUUGGCUUUUAUGGCAUCACCUAGAUGGGUUUUACACAGACAGAGAUUAAGAAUUUUGCCUGUUUUGAUGAAUAAUGUAGUGAAUCAUUUUUCUUACAAAAUAUUUUGACAGUAAGUGAAAUCUGGAGAUAUAUGUUAGAACAUAACUGAAGCUGAAAUGAAUCUAAGAACUGGAAGAAGUAUGCAGCUUUAGAAGCUUUAAACAAUUACAUGACUGUAGGGAACAUACUGUCCAUGAAGACCUAAUGAGCAUUAUUCUUAAUGGAGACCCUGGAGUAAUUCGAGGCCAGGCUGGACUGGGCUCUGGGAAAACUCAUCCAGCUGUACGUGUCCCUGAUUGUUGCUGGGAAGUUGGACUAGAUGGUCUUUAAGGGACCCUUCCAAUUCAAAAGGUUCUAUGAUUCUUUGAUUCUGUUAGACCUGCCUUCUCCUUCAGAAUUCUAAUCACUCUGCUGCCAAUCUCUAACUGAAAGCACAACAGAAGUACGCAUUUAUUUACCAAAGAUGAACAUUCAGUGAGUUAGCUGGGUACUAUUGUGGGGAAAGAAAAGAUGUUUUUUGCAUAACAGUAAGAUGACUCCAGAGAGGUCCAAAGAGGCGCCACAGAGCUCCGAUGCAAGAUACAUUCCUGCUUGCAGAAUAGAAGAUCUGCAUUUUUGAGUAACAUCAGCAGCUGUACUGGUACAAACUGGUUCUAUGGUUUUGAAUGAUAGCCAGAGGGGAAGGUUAACUAUGAGACGUUAUCCCAGCAUGCCACAGUAAGUAAAAACUAAACUAGAAUAUGAGGAGAUCAAGGAGGGAAUAACCAAGAAGUAAAAAGGGGCAGAAAGGCAAUUAGAAAUGGUGGAUAGGCUGUAAACCCUGGAGUAUGUGACCAAUGGGGAAACGAGAGUGAAUUUAAGCCAGGAAGCCGGAAAUAUAAACUGCUGGGUCUCUCUGGUCCUACACACCUUUUAUCAUUGUUGCCCUCUCUUGCAAAAGCAUGAAAUAAAUUAUGAUUCAU
ensembl:lncRNA